AGUUCUUGACGGACGACGCCGUUCAGAAGAGGUUCGCCGGGGACUUCGUCCGGCAGCUCAAAGAGCUCGUCAGGGCAGCCUGACUCUAGCUCGUAUGUGCAAAAAUAGUUUGCAUCCUCUGUUGCACGGAGUACGGUUACCUGAAUGUAUGCUGUGUAAUUCGCUUCUUUUACAGCACGUGGCUACAAGCACUAGAAGUCUGCAACCAAAAACUCCUUAUUAAAAUACAAGCCUGUUCUGAUGACCCAAAUUUACUCUCACCUAAUUGUUCUUAGCUUUGGUUGAAUCAUCAUAGUUCUUCGUUGUUUAGGCCAGUGUGUAUACAUAUGUAAAGGGAUUUAUCUGAUGUUACGAUACUUAUCACCACGUACGAACUUGCAACCAAUACUCUUCCAAUUAUAUUUUUUUAACAAAAAUAAUAACUGGGUCAUCAAUAAAGGAGACCAUCUAAUGGCAUCCGCAGAUUCGUCGAGGAGAGAGAGCGCGCCACGGAAGUAAUUAAAAACGUUGAAUCGAUUUAUACACCUAAUGUUUUUUUUGAUGAAAUAGGAGGGGAAAGACCCCUGGUUAUAUAUUAUAUAUAAAAAAAAGAACAAACAAAAGGUGCUAAACGGUUCAAGAAACAAAGAAAGAGAGAAAAAAGAUCAUAAAGAUUACAAUGUAUGUUCUAGCCAUUCUAUCAUCGGUUGCUUCCAAUCCUCUUUUACGCGUAGCAUAACCUGCGUAAACACAACUUUGAAUCGCGACAUGGCACUAUGAACCGAUGGAGUGAUGCCCUGAAAAAUCCAGUCAUUCCUUUCCAUCCAAAUACACCAGCUCAUGAGAAUAAUGACCUCCAUGAAGAAUUUGACUUGUAGUUGAAUUCUGAAGCUAUUUAGGAUACUAUAGGGCUCUUGUGUCAAAUCUGUAAACAGACUAAUAUUAAUCCAACAUUCUUGCGCAAAGGGACAUUCCAAGAUAAGGUGAAAUAAAGUUUCUUCUAUGUCAUGCAUGCAUAAGACACAAGAGUAAGAAGGCAACUCCAUAUGCUUCCUUCGAAGAACAUUCCGUGUACUCAAUCUGUCUUUAAGAAGUAACCAGAAAAAGAACUUGUGUUUGCUUUGGCAUUUUGAUUUCCAAAGCCACCGAAAAACUGGAUGAACAUACUGAUGUCCCUUUAGUGUCCGAUAUGCUUUGGAUGAGGAGAAGUGCUGAUUGCCCCAAAUAUAUGUCCAUCUGUCUUGCUCAUCAUUUGUGGAGAUAAGAUCCAAAUCAGCAGCCAAUUGUAGCAAUUGAUUCAUGGCCAGUGGAGUGAGGGGCAGGGUGAAGAGAUGUUGUAAAUUUGUUAGCACAUAUGCCUGCCUGACAGAUAUGUCAUCCUUUCUAGUAAAUGAGUAUAGUUGUGGAUAUUCUUGUGCAGGAAUCUUAUUGUUCCACAGGUCAUGCCAAAGUAAACAUGUUAGCCCAUUGCCCACUGUUACUGUCGCUUAACCUUUGAAUUUAUCAAUGAGUUUGACAAUGUCACGCCACCAAAAAGAACCUUUUCUUAUUCGUCCUGGUAGCCUACCAGUAGCAUAGUGGUUCUCCCAAAUCAUACACCAGUAUACACCUAAUGUUAUGGCGCAACCAAGGAGAACAUGGAGGCUCUGAUCAGGAUCGGCCAUGAGCUGCUCAAGAAGCCUGUGUCAAGAGUGAACAUCGACACGGGGAUGUACGAGCCUGUUAACGGUGAAGGAACGAAUGAAGAGGCGCUAGCACGCUUCGCCAAGAUACUCUCCGACGAACGCAGGCUACGGCAGAGCAAACUCAGCUCCAACUAGCUCUUGUUCAUAGCUACCUUGGUGCUUGCCAACAAGUUCAGCACAUGGAGCUGGAGUUGCAAAGUGGAUGAGAAUGGGAUGGGCGGUAGGUGAAGUGCUGAUCAUAAGUUAUUUUUAGUAAUUAAUCAAGAAACGUGCAUUAAAGCAAUAAACAUGUAAGCAUAGGGUGAUGUAAGUGCUAACAUCUGUAUUACACAAAACAGAUUAGUUCUCUAUGUGCUAACAAACGUUAGGUAUAAAACUUGAUUCUGGUAUACAUAUAGAUAGCACUUGGUUUUGUUUUAAAAUCAGGUGUGAUAACUACAUCACCGUUGGAUGCGGCCUUGUAAUAAUAACACCAUGGCACAACUCCUCGUGGGGUAGAAGCUGUUUUUUGUUCUGUUGGCUAUUCCAAAAUGAUAUUGUUUUCAACGAACCUACUAAUGUUACUAGAAUGCAGGCGAUUUUUAUGGGUACUUAUUAGCUACGCUUUUAUUAGAGAUUGUUGCAAAGAGAGUAUCAACCAGAGGAUUUGCUGAAAGUUUGCCGAGCUUUGGAAGUCUUGGCAAUGCAAAUUUUUAUCGAGAUUGGCCGGCUGCAUAAUAAAAUAGAAUUUUCCCUAGUUUUGUGUCAUCAUACAACAAAAUUACAACUCUAUAAUAAUUUUGAAUAUUGUAUACAUAAUCUUGUACUCCCUCUGUUCCAAAUUGUAGGUCGUUUUGGAUGUUCUAGGUGCAUAAAUAUUAUUAUGCAUAUAGAUAUAGUGUAUGUCUAAAUUUAUAAUAAUAUCUAAUAAUCGAGAAAAGUUAAAAUAACUUAUAAUUUGGAAUGAGUAAAAGAUUGUAACCUAAUUCAUUUAUUAGAAAAUGAACAUUCGCUUAAUCAUUGCCCACAUGUGUUAUUGUGGCCCAAAAUUUAUUUGCUGGAAGAAAAAAAAUCAAAUAAUGAACAGGGAGCUCAAUAACUAAUCUCACUGGUUGAGCACGAUUAGCGUAGUUUACUAUUACUCCGAUGCGGACAGCUCAACCACUCCGCAUCGCAUCUUGUCCGAUGCGUCUUCAAUUUUUUAGGAAAGGAAGGCUUGUUUGGUUUAGCCACUUUUAGUUCUUAAAUGCCACAUAGAUGGAUUAAAAUAUGAGCUAAAGGGUUUAGGUGCUGUUUGGAUCACCAGUCCAUGACAAAUUUUAGUCUCUAAAUUUUAAUCCGAACUCUAGCCCUGUUAGGUUGUUUGGAUCCGUGGGCUAAACUUUAAUCUUUCAUCACACAAUGACUGAUUUGCCCUCAUUUAUUGAUUCCAUGCACUAUGCAAACUUUAGUCCAUACUACCCUCCUUUCUUGUUUCUCUUUUUCUCUUGUCUUCUUUUUAUUUUAUACUAUAUAUGAUUUCAUAUUUUGAAACGAAAAAAGAUUAAUAAAAAUAAUUAGUGGCUUGAUAUGUAGAUUAACCAAUUAUUUCCUAUUUUCUUUUUUUUUAAGCAAAUUUUUCAUCCCUUUCCAACCUUAUCUCCUCCACCUAUCCGAUCUCCUUCUUUCUUUCCUCCCAUCGCAGGCUCCUCCCCGACCACACCGCUCCGCUAGCAGCCUCCACGCUGCGCCCCUGCGUUUGCCACCGGCCACCUCAGCCCCUGCGCUCUGGUGCCUUUGCUCCAGCGCCCACCGGCCAGCCUCUCCUCCGCGGGCUGCGACUCGCCACCUCGCCCUCUGCACUCGCUGCUGGCCGCCUCUCCCAGGGGCCGCGCGACUGGGAGGAGACGGAGGAGCUUGGGCGGGGCGAGAGGGGCGGAGAGCGGGGUCGGCCGGCGCGGACGCUGCCGCCGGGGGCAGCAAAGGAUGGCAGAGGAGGCGGAGUCCGACGGCCCCGGCGCACCGUGGAUCAGGAUGUGCGAGUUCCGGUGCGCGCGCAGCGGCUUGGGCUCGGAUCCAGCAACAGCAGCGAGGCGGAGGCGGAGGAGCAGGUGGCGGCGCCGCGGGGCUGCCAAUGCGAGGCGGAGGCGGUGGCGACGUCGAGCAAAGGAGGCGGGACCGGGCGGAGCGUGCAGGGAGAGAUAGAGAGUGCGGGGAGGAGAGAGAGGGAAGGGGGGACCGGGGGUAUGGUGCGUCCAGCACCCACCCCAAGGAGUUUUAGCCCAGUUUAGGGCCUCUUGGGGAGCAAAAUUUUUUAGCUCAGAUUUUAGCUAUUUGCUCUCUUUAGCCUACCUGUUUGGAUCCCAAGAGCUAAAAAAUGAGCUAAAAGUGCAGAACUAAAAUUUAGCCCUUAGAUUCAAAUAGGCCCUUAGUCCUCCAGUCCAAUAGGGAUGGACUAAAGUGGACUAAAAUGCAUUGGAGACACCCCUGUCCCUCAUUUAUUGCCUCCCUCCCACCUGGCCCCCUCCGUCGGCCUCCCUCCUGCUGCCCUCUCACCCAGCCCCUCCCCCCCCCCCCCCCCCCGCCACCGACCUAGCUGCUGCAGGAGGCGGCUCAACUGGCGGCAGAGGCGGCGGGCCGGGGGUGAUGCAGGGGUGGAAGAAGUAGUAGAGGAGCGGGGGCGAACGAGGGAGGCAACGCGGCACCAGCGGCGGCAAGCUAGUGCGGCGCGGAGGAGGUCGGCCGGGGAGAGGAGCUGGAUGACUGUGCGGAGGAUGUCCUCUGUGAGGACAGUGGCCGUCGCCACCUGUGGCUCUACCUGCUGAAGUUCCACCGGUGGUGGCGGAGGGGGAGAACGAGGCGGAGGGGGAACGAGGUGGCGAUGGAAGGUGGAGGAGGUCGAGGCUAGGAGGAAGGAGGAGGAAGAGGAUAAUAUCAUCUUUGUUUAUAUGCUUUAAUGAAUUUUAGUAACGACUAAAGUUUAAUCCAUAAAUAACGGAGAUCAUAUCCUCCGCUCCCGACAAUGGUGUUCGUUGACCUUGAACAUUUGGUUUUCGUUGGUGGGUGUGAUCUAUAGUUAUUAUUUAUUACCGGCAGGAGGGACCCUAAAUAUGCAUGCCUCCUCGAUCCAUCCCAUAAAAAUACCCAGCUACAGCCAGUACCCACCCACCAAACCCAGACCAUGUCGGGCAGCGGAAAUGGCAGUGGCCGCGCCGGCGUUGCCACUCACGUCGUCAUGUUCCCCUGGCUCGCCUUCGGCCACAUCAGCCCGUUCGCCCAACUGACGCGCAAGCUCAUCUCCGGCGACGAGACGCUCCGUGUAACGUUCCUGACGGCCGCCGGGAACGUGCCCCGCGUCGAGGCGAUGCUGGCGGAGGCCGCUGGCGCGGUGGCCGUCCUGCCGCUGGACCUGCCAAGCGUGCCGGGUCUGCCCCCGGUCGCUGCGAGCACGGCUGAGCUCUCGGCCGACGGCGCCGAGCUUCUUAAGGUCGCCCUCGACGGCACCCGGCCGCAGGUCGCCACGCUCCUCGCGGAGCUCCGCCCGGACGCCGUGCUGUUCGACUUCGCCGUGCCGUGGGUUUGCGACGUCGCGGCGCCCCUCGGCGUCAGGGCGCUCUACUUCAAUGUCUAUUCCGCCGCGACCCUCGCGCUCACCGUCCCUGCGCGGUGUCCCGGUGGGCAGCGCCCGUCGGCGCACGAGCUCACUGCGGCGCCCGCCGGCUUCCCGUCGGACUCGCCGCUUGUCACGCUGCCGGCGUACCAGGCAGCCAACAUGACGUACGUGUUCGAGAGCUUCUACGGCAUGCCGAGCGCGUACGACCGUUUCAUCGAAUGCUUCAAGGGCUGCUUCGGCAUCGUCAUGAAGACCUGUGCCGAGAUGGAGGGCCCCUACAUCGACUACAUCUUGGCCCAGAUCGGCAAGCCCGUGCUCCUGGCCGGACCCGUCGUGCCGGAGCCACCGGAAGGCGAGCUCGAGGAGCGGUGGGCCAGCUGGCUCUCCUCGUUCCCGGAGAACUCCGUCGUCUUCGCCUCGUUCGGCAGCGAGACGUUCCUACCGGCAGCGGCGGCGACAGAGCUUCUCCUCGGCCUCGAGGCCACCAACCGGCCGUUCCUCGCGGUGCUCAACUUCCCCAAGGGAGCCGACACGGAAGCGGAGCUCCGGGCACGGAUCCCGCCGGGGUUCGAGGAGAGGGUGAAGGGGAGAGGCGCGGUGCACACGGGGUGGGUGCAGCAGCAGCACAUCCUGCAGCACCAGAGCGUCGGGUGCUACUUGAACCACGCCGGGUUCAGCUCCGCCGUGGAGGGGCUCGUAGCCGGUUGCCGGCUGGUGCUGCUGCCGAUGAAGGGCGACCAGUACGUCAACGCGGCGCUGCUCGCGCGAGAGUUGCGGGUUGGGGUGGAGGUGGCGCGCCGCGACGAGGACGGCUGGUUCGGAGGCCAGGACGUGAGCGAUGCGGUUGCCUUGGCGAUGGCGGAGGGAGGGGAUGGGGACGGGAGGAAGUGGAGGGAGUUCUUGACGGACGACGCCGUUCAGAAGAGGUUCGCCGGGGACUUCGUCCGGCAGCUCAAGGAGCUCGUCAGGGCAGCCUGACUCUAGCUCGUAUGUGCAAAAAUAGUUUGCAUCCUCUGUUGCACGGAGUACGGUUACCUGAAUGUAUGCUGUGUAAUUCGCUUCUUAUGUUUCCUUUUCCUACUUUGUGCUUUCUAUUGAUAAACUUGUGUCACUAUCGUACUGUCUUCCUCAGUCCUUAACAGUCGACCAUCUCAAUACAGGUUCUAUCACAUCGCAGGUGGGUCCUCUGUUAUAUAUCUUUCCUCUUCUUUUACAGCACGCGGCUACAAGCACUAGAAGUCUGCAACCAAAAACUCGUUAUAAUGCAAGCCUGUUCUGAUGACCCAAAUUUACUCUCACCUGGUUGUUCUUAGCUUAGUUGAAUCAUCAUAGUUGUUCGUUGUUUAGGCCAGUGUGUGUAUAUAUAUGUAAA
rnacentral:lncRNA from 1 species